GUGGAAAGGCCUAAGAUUUCUGUAAAAGCAGGGGUCAGUGAAUUAAAAUCCUCCCAGGAGCGAAGGGCCUCUGAAUGCUUAUUUCUGAUAAUCUUAUUUAUGUCCCGGGCCAUGCCCCCACCACACCCCUACUCCAAAGGCUUCUCUUGUGCUGCCUGUGCCCUGGACUAUUCACUGACUGACCCUACCUGCCUUUGGGGGAUUGGAGGUGAGGUGGUAUGGUGUCAACAGUACAGACUCCAGGAGUAGGUGAGAAACCCUGUGGCAAGAUCAUCUGAGCGCUGCUAACAGCCCAAUGGAUGAGGAGAGUCACGCACACACCCGUCUACAAACCCACUUUACAGAUGGAGUGAUGGGCUGAGAUGAACUAGUGGGCAGAGAGCCAAUCCAGAGGAAACCAAGCAUGCAGCCAGCGAGUCAGACAUUUGUGGGAAUUGGGAAAACAUUGCACCUGCCCCACUGGAGACAUGGACGUUAGAUUUGGUUUUAGGUAUACAUCCCAAGUGCUGUGUAUGACUGCAUUCCCCAAGGACCCUCUGGGAGCAUGAGACAGGGAGGACAGGAAAGAAUCUCUGAUAAUAAAAAAACAAAAACAAAACAAAA
rnacentral:lncRNA from 1 species